UAUUAUGGAGAGUUUGAUCCUGGCUCAGGACGAACGCUGGCGGCAUGCCUAAUACAUGCAAGUCGAGCGAACUGUUGGAAGCUUGCUUCCUUCAGUUAGCGGCGGACGGGUGAGUAACACGUGGGCAACCUGCCCU
rnacentral:rRNA from 3 species